UGGAAUCUCCAGCAUCUGCAGUUCCCAUUAUCUCUGAAGCUAAACAUGAAUUCGGUUUUGGGUGAACCUGAAGAAGGGCCCCGAACCGAAACGUCAAGCUUUCCUGCUCGGCCUGAAGCGUUUAUCCAGCUUUACACCGUGUUAUCACGGAACACAACUGUGGUGAUCCAAGGACAAAAGCGAACAUACCGGUCUAGAUGCAACACCGGUUCCAGUACUAGCUGAAUUCAUGGUUGCUUGUGGAGGUGGCUGGAGACGGCCUGUAGAGAAAAACUAACCCUGGACUGACAGGUGCCCCUGGACCUUAUGGGGAGAAAAAAAAAAGGAAAAUAUGUCUACAAAGAAACUAUUACAACAGACAUACCAAGGGCAGAAAACAGAAAAGUAAAUCAAGUCAAAACACAGGUAUUAGUGCAGCCUUCAACUUACCAAAAGAAACGGUUAUCCGUUGUAUGUUCCUGCAUUCUACGAUGGGCAUUCAGACUCAAGUCUAGACUGACACCACUGGAAGACCAAGCAAAAUAAAAACUUCCAGAAUUCAACACCUUUCUUACUUCAGAGAUACGUUCCUCAUCUGAAGGCUCAUUUUGAAGAGAAAUAAAUUCAGUAGAGGUGACUCUGAAGACUUCAGAAUCUUGUAUCUUUCCCACUGACAUACAGCCAGUUACUAGCACAAGGUAA